UUAAGCGACUAAGCGUACACGGUGGAUGCCCUGGCAGUCAGAGGCGAUGAAGGACGUGCUAAUCUGCGAAAAGCGUCGGUAAGGUGAUAUGAACCGUUAUAACCGGCGAUGUCCGAAUGGGGAAACCCAGUGUGAUUCGUCACACUAUCGUUAACUGAAUACAUAGGUUAACGAGGCGAACCGGGGGAACUGAAACAUCUAAGUACCCCGAGGAAAAGAAAUCAACCGAGAUUCCCCCAGUAGCGGCGAGCGAACGGGGAGCAGCCCAGAGUCUGAAUCAGCUUGUGUGUUAGUGGAACGGUCUGGAAAGUCCGACGGUACAGGGUGAUAGUCCCGUACACCAAAAUGCACAGGCUGUGAACUCGAAGAGUAGGGCGGGACACGUGGUAUCCUGUCUGAAUAUGGGGGGACCAUCCUCCAAGGCUAAAUACUCCUGACUGACCGAUAGUGAACCAGUACCGUGAGGGAAAGGCGAAAAGAACCCCGGCGAGGGGAGUGAAAAAGAACCUGAAACCGUGUACGUACAAGCAGUGGGAGCACCUUCGGGUGUGACUGCGUACCUUUUGUAUAAUGGGUCAGCGACUUAUAUUCUGUAGCAAGGUUAACCGUAUAGGGGAGCCGCAGGGAAACCGAGUCUUAACUGGGCGUUAAGUUGCAGGGUAUAGACCCGAAACCCGGUGAUCUAGCCAUGGGCAGGUUGAAGGUUGGGUAACACUAACUGGAGGACCGAACCGACUAAUGUUGAAAAAUUAGCGGAUGACUUGUGGCUGGGGGUGAAAGGCCAAUCAAACCGGGAGAUAGCUGGUUCUCCCCGAAAGCUAUUUAGGUAGCGCCUCGUGAAUUCAUCUUCGGGGGUAGAGCACUGUUUCGGCUAGGGGGUCAUCCCGACUUACCAACCCGAUGCAAACUACGAAUACCGAAGAAUGUUAUCACGGGAGACACACGGCGGGUGCUAACGUCCGUCGUGAAGAGGGAAACAACCCAGACCGCCAGCUAAGGUCCCAAAGUCAUGGUUAAGUGGGAAACGAUGUGGGAAGGCACAGACAGCCAGGAUGUUGGCUUAGAAGCAGCCAUCAUUUAAAGAAAGCGUAAUAGCUCACUGGUCGAGUCGGCCUGCGCGGAAGAUGUAACGGGGCUAAACCAUGCACCGAAGCUGCGGCAGCGACACUAUGUGUUGUUGGGUAGGGGAGCGUUCUGUAAGCCUGCGAAGGUGACCUGUGAGGGUUGCUGGAGGUAUCAGAAGUGCGAAUGCUGACAUAAGUAACGAUAAAGCGGGUGAAAAGCCCGCUCGCCGGAAGACCAAGGGUUCCUGUCCAACGUUAAUCGGGGCAGGGUGAGUCGACCCCUAAGGCGAGGCCGAAAGGCGUAGUCGAUGGGAAACAGGUUAAUAUUCCUGUACUUGGUGUUACUGCGAAGGGGGGACGGAGAAGGCUAUGUUAGCCGGGCGACGGUUGUCCCGGUUUAAGCAUGUAGGCUGAUUAUCCAGGCAAAUCCGGAUAAUCAAGGCUGAGGUGUGAUGACGAGGCACUACGGUGCUGAAGUAACAAAUGCCCUGCUUCCAGGAAAAGCCUCUAAGCAUCAGGUAACAUCAAAUCGUACCCCAAACCGACACAGGUGGUCAGGUAGAGAAUACCAAGGCGCUUGAGAGAACUCGGGUGAAGGAACUAGGCAAAAUGGUGCCGUAACUUCGGGAGAAGGCACGCUGGUGUGUAGGUGAAGUCCCUGCGGAUGGAGCUGAGACCAGUCGAAGAUACCAGCUGGCUGCAACUGUUUAUUAAAAACACAGCACUGUGCAAACACGAAAGUGGACGUAUACGGUGUGACGCCUGCCCGGUGCCGGAAGGUUAAUUGAUGGGGUUAUCCGUAAGGAGAAGCUCUUGAUCGAAGCCCCGGUAAACGGCGGCCGUAACUAUAACGGUCCUAAGGUAGCGAAAUUCCUUGUCGGGUAAGUUCCGACCUGCACGAAUGGCGUAAUGAUGGCCAGGCUGUCUCCACCCGAGACUCAGUGAAAUUGAACUCGCUGUGAAGAUGCAGUGUACCCGCGGCAAGACGGAAAGACCCCGUGAACCUUUACUAUAGCUUGACACUGAACAUUGAGCCUUGAUGUGUAGGAUAGGUGGGAGGCUUUGAAGCGUGGACGCCAGUCUGCGUGGAGCCAACCUUGAAAUACCACCCUUUAAUGUUUGAUGUUCUAACGUUGGCCCCUUAUCGGGGUUGCGGACAGUGUCUGGUGGGUAGUUUGACUGGGGCGGUCUCCUCCCAAAGCGUAACGGAGGAGCACGAAGGUUAGCUAAUCCUGGUCGGACAUCAGGAGGUUAGUGCAAUGGCAUAAGCUAGCUUGACUGCGAGCGUGACGGCGCGAGCAGGUGCGAAAGCAGGUCAUAGUGAUCCGGUGGUUCUGAAUGGAAGGGCCAUCGCUCAACGGAUAAAAGGUACUCCGGGGAUAACAGGCUGAUACCGCCCAAGAGUUCAUAUCGACGGCGGUGUUUGGCACCUCGAUGUCGGCUCAUCACAUCCUGGGGCUGAAGUAGGUCCCAAGGGUAUGGCUGUUCGCCAUUUAAAGUGGUACGCGAGCUGGGUUUAGAACGUCGUGAGACAGUUCGGUCCCUAUCUGCCGUGGGCGCUGGAGAAUUGAGGGGGGCUGCUCCUAGUACGAGAGGACCGGAGUGGACGCAUCACUGGUGUUCGGGUUGUCAUGCCAAUGGCACUGCCCGGUAGCUAAAUGCGGAAGAGAUAAGUGCUGAAAGCAUCUAAGCACGAAACUUGCCCCGAGAUGAGUUCUCCCUGAGACUUUAAGUCUCCUGAAGGAACGUUAAAGACGAUGACGUUGAUAGGCCGGGUGUGUAAGCGCAGCGAUGCGUUGAGCUAACCGGUACUAAUGAACCGUGAGGCUUAACCUU
rnacentral:rRNA from 2 species